rnacentral:lncRNA from 1 species
AUAUACAUAUAAAACCCCUUUUCCCGUGUCACAAUCAGAGCAGAGCUUCACCGACGACUCGACAUCGAAUACCACAAAACCUGUAAAUCUGGACCCCCAACGGUCCAGCACAUAACACAUAAAAGAGAGUCAGAUAACAUACUCAAAAUAUACAAGUGUAAGUAAAUGGUACUUAAACACUUCUUCAUAAAAACAUGCAUAAUCAUACAUUAUACAUAUACAUCACCAUCAUUCAUGCAUAUUCAUAUAUCAUGCAUAUACUUCAUUUAUCACCUAAUCAAUCAUCCAAAAAAUACACCAAACAUAUAGUUUCACGUCGUCUCGGACAAUACCAAAACAUCAACAAAUACAUUGUUCAGAUUAUGGUCAUGACGGACCCUGCGUUGUUCAUUUUAUAGUCAUGACGGACUCUGCUCCUCACAUACGGAUUAACAAUCAACAUUUACCAAGUAUGUGUCACAUAUCACUUAUCACAUAAAUGUACACAUAUCCUAAUGCAUUCUAAUGCGUCAACUUCAUGCAAUGUCACCCUAGACAUAUCUAAUGCAUGUGGUACCGUUUCGUCUUUAUUAGAGUAUCUCACCUCUAAUAUUCGUCUUUAUCGGAUAAAUAUAAUCCGAUAUCCGUCUUUAUUGGAAUAUCCAAUAUAUAACAACAAAAUUCAUGAAUGCAUGUAUAUGUUUUUCAUGAAUUCACCAACAAUUAUUUAGCAUAAAGCUCGUCAUUUACUAUGUGGAACACUAUCCAACAUACGUCAUUAUUAACAUUAACAAAACCUUAAUAUUCGUCAUUUACAACAUCAUACAUGAUUAACAAUCGUUAUAAGCAUCAACA